rnacentral:lncRNA from 1 species
GGGAGAUUUCCCUUUAGUCAGGGAAGAGUGGAACAUUAAGGUCCAUAAAUCCAUGGGACCUGAUGGGGUGCAUCCGCGGGUGCUGAGAGAGCUGGCAGAGGUCGUUGCUGAGCCGCUCUCUGUAAUCUUUCAGAGGUCUUGGAGAACUGGGGAUGUGCCUGAAGAUUGGAGGACGGCCAAUGUCACUCCAGUCUUCAAAAAGGGCAAGAAGGAAGACCCGCGUAAUUAUAGGCCAGUCAGCUUCACGUCUGUCCCAGGGAAGGUGAUGGAACAGCUUGUGCUGGAUGCCAUCUCCAGACAACUGGGUAAUAAGGAGGUUAUCAGGAGUACCCAGCAUGGGUUCACCAAGGGGAGGUCAUGCUCGACCAAGCUGGUGGCCUUUUAUGAAGAUGUCACUAGCUGGGUGGACAGGGGGAGGGCGGUAGAUGUAGUCUACCUUGAUUUCAGUAAGGCUUUUGAUACUGUCCCCCAUGACAUCCUUAUAACAAAGCUGAGGAAGUAUGGGAUAGAUGAGUGGACGGUGAAGUGGGUUGAGAAUUGGCUGACUGGCAGAGUGCAGAGGGUUGUUGUUGGCGGUGCGGUGUCUGGCUGGAGGCCUGUAACUAGCGGCAUGCCCCAGGGGUCUGUACUGGGUCCGGUCUUGUUCAACAACUUCAUCAACGACCUUGAUGAGGGGAUAGUGACCACCCUCAGCAAGUUUGCUGAUGACACGAAGUUGGAGGAUUGGCUGACACACCUGAAGGCUGUGCUGCCAUUCAGCGAGACCUGGACAGGCUGGAGAGCUGGGCAGUAAGAAACCGGAUGAGGUUUAACAAAAGGAAGUGUAGAGUCUUGCACAUAGGAAGAAAUAAUUGCAUGCACCAGUACAGGCUGGGGGAAGACCUGCUGGAGAGCUCUGCUGAGAGGGACCUGGGCGUCCUGGUGGACGGCAGAUUAACCAUGAGCCAGCAGUGUGCCCUUGUAGCCAAAAAAGCCAAUGGCAUACUGGGUUGUAUUAAAAAGAGUGUGUCCA